GCGUGGGGGGCGGGCGCUGCCCGGCCCAGCGGCCCCGCAGUGACGGGGAGGAGGUGGCGGGACAGUCGCUUUUGUGCUCCUAGCCCAGCCUCACGGGGCUUUCCUCUCGCCAGUCCUUACGGGACUGUGCCCGGGAGCUCCCCGGGUGACGCCAGGCAGGCCCGCCCUCAGGUGUUCUCCUGCCCGCUGCUCCCCGUGAGGCCUCUUGCCAGGCAGCUUUAACGCUGUUCCCGCAUUGAACAAAGCAGGCACAGGUUUUCCGUGGCGCUGACACACAAAGCCUUUAUCACAACCUGCUGCUUCUGAUGGGGAGCUGGCGCUGCUCGGAAGCACAGCAAUUGUGACUACAGAACAGUCAUACUACAAGUUGUGGAUGUGUAUAGAUAUAAUUUUUUGCUUCAGUACCCCUAAGUUACCUGUGCAUUGCACCAUCUACCUCCACUGAAAGAAACCCAGUCCCUGCCUCCAGAAGAUCUAUGUUUGGAAAAAGCCAGCUAAGCAAGUGCAGAAGAGGAGGUAUUUCAGCUAGAGGAAAGCACCAGAGAGUUAAUUGUGUGCUGGAGUGGCCAAGCCUACAAGACAUCAGUUGCUGAGCAUUCAGGGUUACAGCUUUCACCUGGCCCUGGGAAACAGGGCUGUGGGAAAGGGAACUUUGGGCAGGACUGGGCUGUCUCCUGCCUCUGGCUGUCAGAGUAAGCUCCUCUGGGUCUGUUGGGGUGCUAUGGAGGAUUACCUUGUUCCUGGAGCAGGUGGGGAUGAUAGGGAGUCCCCUGUUGUGAUGCAGCAGGUGGCU